UUCUAAUCCGGUCAGUUUUGGCUCAGCUCUUUUUUUCGGGUAGGAGUACCUGAGCAUUUGAUUCUCCUUUCGAUUUCAAGCUCGCCGUCCCACCACCACCACCACCCACCCGACGUUUCAAUCCUCUCUCUCUUUGUUGGGCUUUGAAAGUUGAAAACCUUGAAGAUGGUGUGGUUUCCAUCUGGUUCUCGAGUGACAGGAAUUGCCUGCUUCAAUGUGUAGAACAGAGUUGUCAAUCUGCUUCAUAGAUUCCAUCCAUGGCGCUUUAUUGGAUCCGGCUUAGCCAGUGAGGUAAUAUAUGCUCUUUGUGAUGAUUAUUCCAAUAGUAUGUAUUUAAGACAAAUCUUUAUGACUACUAAUUGGAUGUGUGUUUGGGUGGCAUUCUGUCAUCAGUAAUCUCUUGUUCAUGUUCAGAAUUUCCAUUACCAUUCGCUUAAGUUUUGUCUGAUUAUCUGAAAGUUCAAGUCUUUGUUAACGUU